UGCUCAACUUGCUAACAUAUCAUCCUCACAGUUAAGCUGGCCAGGUGUAACAGCCAGGUAGCAGUAUCCCGGUCAGGUAACCCGGCCAUGUAUUCCCCGCAUAGCCACUGACAGGUAAAAGAGUUGUUCAAUUCACGUGCGUGCGUGCGUGCGUGCGUGCGUGCAUAGGUUGUGAUUAUGUAAUCACACUGCAUAUAGAUGGUUCGUCACUGCUUUGUAUACCGAUAAUUAGAAACAAAUACGUAACCCGACAUCUUGAGUAGUGUUACAUACUACCAAGAGUAGAUAAAUAACUUAUGUUACUGUUAUUAACUGUUGUUAAAUGUUGUUAACUGUUAAUAAAUGUUAUUUAUCUACUCUUGAUACUACUGUAUUAAGUUAUUGUCUAUUACCCUACUACUGUGCGACUGUGCAGCCGUACUAGAUGAAUGCACUCAUACUGACGUACAACCAUCUGUUAUAUCAUCUGUUUAAUUACAUAUUUGUAUCUAUGAGAUAAAAUCGAGAGUUAAUAAAACCUAUUGUUAGCUUAUGAUAAUAUGCAAUAACUAUAAGAUAUCGUCAUCAUUUUACGUCUGACGACCGUAGACACGGAAAGGUCAACGCAAGGUCGUGCAGGGUUGGGAAUCACCAUAGAUGCUGUUAUUUAAUGAUUCUGUGGUCUAGAUUUUUACGCGAUAUUUUAUUAUUACACAUGUUUUACUAACGAAUAAUUGUUUUGUGUGCGCGCGUGCGUGCGUGCGUGCGUGCGUGCGCGUGUGCGUGCGUGCGUGCGUGCGUGCGUGCGUGUGUGCGUGCGAGCAUGUGAUAUGCCCGCAGAGUCAGACGCACCAUGUGGAUGGUAGUGACGUCUAUUUUAAUUAGGCGCUGCUCAUUCCUUAAAUAUUUGAUACUCGUGAUUCGAUUUGUGUUUUCCCACGAGUAAUAUAACACUUGCACGCAAAGAAA